rnacentral:rRNA from 1 species
CUAAGUUUGAUGGCGACCGGCGCACGGGUGAGUAACACGUAUCCAACCUGCCGAUAACUCGGGGAUAGCCUUUCGAAAGAAAGAUUAAUACCCGAUGGUAUAAUAAAGCCGCAUGGUUUAAUUAUUAAAGAAUUUCGGUUAUCGAUGGGGAUGCGUUCCAUUAGGCAGUUGGUGAGGUAACGGCUCACCAAACCUUCGAUGGAUAGGGGUUCUGAGAGGAAGGUCCCCCACAUUGGAACUGAGACACGGUCCAA